rnacentral:rRNA from 1 species
AUUGAACGCUGGCGGCAGGCCUAACACAUGCAAGUCGAACGGCAACAGGAAGCAGCUUGCUGCUUUGCUGACGAGUGGCGGACGGGUGAGUAAUGUCUGGGAAACUGCCUGAUGGAGGGGGCUAACUACUGGAAACGGUAGCUAAUACCGCAUAACGUCGCAAGACCAAAGAGGGGGACCUUCAGGCCUCUUGCCAUCGGAUGUGCCCAGAUGGGAUUAGCUAGUAGGUGGGGUAACGGCUCACCUAGGCGACGAUCCCUAGCUGGUCUGAGAGGAUGACCAGCCACACUGGAACUGAGACACGGUCCAGACUCCUACGGGAGGCAGCAGUGGGGAAUAUUGCACAAUGGGCGCAAGCCUGAUGCAGCCAUGCCGCGUGUAUGAAGAAGGCCUUCGGGUUGUAAAGUACUUUCAGCGGGGAGGAAGGGAGUAAAGUUAAUACCUUUGCUCAUUGACGUUACCCGCAGAAGAAGCACCGGCUAACUCCGUG